rnacentral:tRNA from 1 species
GGAGUUGUAACUCAGUGGAAGAGUGCUUGCCUAGCAUGUGUGAGGCACUGGGUUUGAUUCUCAGCACCA